rnacentral:sRNA from 1 species
UCCAUCUUGAAAGCAUUGGAUGAUUCCUGUUGUUGGGGCUCUGACUUGAGAGGAAAAGCUUAGGGAGUUUGACAGAGUUCCAGGAAGGCUUCCUGUAAGAGGUGGCAUGAUGGUACUGUUAAUAAUUAUAACCAUUUGCUGUAUCACAUGUACCACAUGCCAGUCACUGUGUUACCUACAUACAUCAGCGAUGCCACUUCUUGCCAAGUCAUCCUUACAUCUCCUUGUGUGUGGAGUCCAGUUCUACUCACAGACAGCUCUUGCUAAAGAGCCGAGCAAGGAGUAACUGUGCAGCAGAUCUUUCACUUUAGGGCACAGUACCGACCCAAGGCCAGUCCCACUAUCUGUGAGUGAGUGGCCCAGCUUUAGUAGAUGAGGUGGACCAAUCCGAUCAGCUCUCCUUGGGAAUGUGAAAUAAGAGAUGCAGAGGGAUGUUGCCAGUUAGUUGUGGGGAGCUAAGCUGAGAGGUCCAGUACACCAAGAUGCUGGUUGGGUUGGGAGUGCUAUGGACUAGGUCAAGUGCCUGUUGAACAGCUAAAUGUAGUUGGCCAAGCAAGGACAUGGGGCAGUUGUGCAGAGAGAAGCAGGCUUGUGACGUGGAUGAGCCAUAUGAACGACAGACCUCUAGAGCAGAGAGGUUCAUGCUACAGCUAGACAUUUCCUCAAGCUCCAGGUACAAUGAGCUCUAUUUGAAUUCCUACCCUUGGAUUUCUGCUUCCUGAUCUUGCUUCAUUUGGUUUCUGUUUCUUGCAUCCAAAAGAGGCCCAACCCAAGCAACCCUUUCCAUAGAUUCCAUUUAAUUUGUGCUUCAUCCCCUCAGAGGGGUUGGGGUUGUAGUGCUGAACCACCACACCUGACAUUACUGUUUGGGAAGGUCACCAGCCUUCUCAUACUGAAGGGGAAGAGCCAAGCCUUUGUUGAAAUAUACAUGCAAGAGGUUGCUGACACCACACGUAUCAGUGCCAUGCUGCCAGUCCAACUAUGUCUAGUUCUUCAAGCACAAGGUGCUCAAGACCAAUAGCUCCCCACACAAGGUGCAUGCCAAUCGGGUAAUCUUACAGGUGGUGAAGUCAGUACAUUUGAGAAACCUGGUCUUCAUGGGCUCCAGUGGCCCACAUACACCAAGAUGGUGAUGGUUGACCAGAACACCGAACUCAGGAUCAUCAUGGGAAAAUCUCUGCUACUCAGUGAUCCUGGAUGCUCUGCACCAGGCCUUCUUCAAGUGUGGCACUGUCCUCAGUAUCAUCAUCUUCACUAAGACCAACCAUUUCCAGGCAUACUAUCAGCAGCAGUUGCAACUGCAUCAUCAUUUCAAGUCUGAAGGUGUCAGGGAUUCCAUCUUGCUGGCUGGCAACCUGAACACAAGAAAGCACAGAGCCAAGCCCCUUUAUUCUCUUCAGUAUCUAUGGUUAUGUGAAGCAGGUGAAGAUCUUGUUCAACAAGGCGAAGACAGCAGGUAGGCCCAGCUGGCCAUGAGGCACCCAAACAAACUAUAUGGGGAGCCAAUGCAUAUUACAACAUCAAAGCACCAGAGUGUGCAGCUGCCUUGUGAGGGGCAGGAAGACUGGCUUCACCAAAGACGCUGAUAGCUCACCAGUGCACUGCUUCAAGAAGCUGGGCCCCAAGUUCUUUAAGAAUUUCUUCCUGUUCUCAGCCAUCCGGCAACUCAUCAACAUCCCUUCCUCAGUGUCAGAGCAGUUCCUCAAGAACUUCUCAAGCAACAAGGGCAUGACCAAGGGCUUCAAAUUCUUUCAGGGACUGCAGCCCUGAAUUCAUGCUCUCUGUCCCAUCCAUCAUCCCUACUAGAAGAACUACAUGAUGGUUCUGAUCCAGAUAAGUUUGUUGGAGGAAGAAGUGCAGGCACCCAUUAAGCUGCAAAUCCACGACCAAAGCAUCCCUGAACAAAAAGAAUAAUGCUGGUGGGAUUGUUACUCCAGAAUUCAGGAUAUAUUAUAGAUCUCUAGUAAUGAAAAUAUGGCACUGACAUCAAAGAGACAUGUAUGCCAAUGGGACAAAAUAGAAGACCCAAACAUGAGUACUUGUAACUGCAGCCAUCUGCUAUUUGAUAAAGAGGCAAAAAACAUACCCUGGAGAAAAGACAGAGCAUCUUCAACAAGUGGUGGGUAAAGCUGAAGACUGUAUGGCGACAUGCAGAUGAAUGGAUCGGACUCAUACCUGUCCAAUCAUACCCAACAUUAGAUCCAAGUGUACCAAUGACUUCAAUUUGAAACCUGCAACAUUAAAGCUGCUGGAAGUAAACAUAUGCAGUUUCCUUCAAGAGAUAAAUGAAGGGAAGGACCUUCUCAACAGGACCACAUUUGUUCAGGAAUUAAGGUCAGCAAUUGACAACAGGGACCUCAUAAAACUGAAGAGCUUUUGUGCAGCUAAGGAAAUAAUCAAGUGAAGAGGAAGCCUACAGAAUGGGAGAGGGUCAUUGCCAGCUACACAUCUGUUAGAGGGCUAAUAUCUACAAUAUAUGAGGAACUCAAAGAACAAAGAGUCAAGGAAACAAACAGCCCAAUUAAAAAGUGGGCUGGGGAUGUAGACAAUUUCAACAGAAGAAAUAGAAAGGGCUAAGAAAUACCUCAGAAAAAGUGUCCAACUUCCUUAGCAAUUAGGGUAAUGUAAACUAACCCAACGUUGACAAUUCUUAACGAGACUACUGACAACAAAUGCUGCUGCAGAUAUGUCAGCGGGAAUGUCAACUGGCACAGCCACUCUGAAAGUCCAUAUGGAGGAUCCUCAAAAAGCUAAAAAUAGCUCUACAAAAUAACCCAGCUCUACCCUUCGGCAUAUGCCCAAGGGGUAUCCUCCUCUACAGAUUCUUACCUGACUCUGUUCACUGUUGCUCUAUAGCUAGGAAAUGGAAACAAAUGAGAUGUCUGACAACUGACAAUUGAAUAAUGAAGAAGGUCUAAGAAUCCAGUAGUUAUUCAGUGCCAGAGGCUGGAUAUCUCAGCCGAUCUUCAGAAUAUGUCAGAGCCCUGGCAAAGUAGGCUCUAAUGCUCGUAAAGGGAUGGACUUGCUAACAAGGCGAGAGCAAGCACGCAAGGAAAGAGCAAGCUGCCUUCUUCGAUGUCCUUCCUAUAGGCUUCCAACAGAAGGUGUGGCCCAGGUUAAAGGUAGAUCUUUCCCAUCUCUAAGGAUCAGGAUUAAAAGUGAUCCUUCUCACUUCAGAUUAUUUAAUUAAAAAGGACCUCACAGGGAUAACCACUUGAGUUUAAUUAAUCCCAAAAGUAGUCAAGUUGACAGUCAAGAAUAGCCAUCACAGAAACCAGAGGUGGAGCUGGGUGGCUGGGUGUUGGACUUGACACAGGAAUAACAAGCAGUACACAGGUGAUAUGGAGUAGGAAAUAGCAAAAAAUAGGGAAGGGGUCCAACUUGGGAGGAGAGAGGGAGGUCAAUACAGACAGAGAAGGGAUGUGGGACAGAUAAAACUAAUAUUAUUUGAUAAAGCCCCAGAGAAUCAUUUUAUAUUUACCUAAGAUUAUAUACAAUAGAAGAACAAGUGUAUGUGUAUAAUGGAUUGUGUGUGUGUGUGUGUGUGUGUGUGUGUGUGUGUGUGUGUGUAUGUACUGACAAUGUUCCCCACAAGAAUCAUAGAUUAAAAGGUAGCCCAGUACCAAGCCUGGUUCAAAUGGCUAAGGUAGUCCAAGUGAUUCUGAGUAUAGAUGUAGCCCUUGGUUGCCUGUCAGCGGUGGAGGAUAGACCCCGUUGCUGAAUAGACCAAACACUUAGGAUAUACAAUCUUGAGCUGGAUGUGACCUAAAAACCUCUUUUCUGUGGUCUAGCUUCCACUGUUUCAGAAAAUACUAUGGAAGCUGUCAAGGGAGGAAAAUACUUAAACAGUCCUACCCAGUCUUACCUAUGAACCAGAACAAUUGCCAUCACGGUAAGACUGUAGGUAGAAUAAGUGACAAUAACAUGUUGGCAACCAAGAGCUCUGUCAUAGACUUAAAGCCCACCCACUAGGAGGGAAGUAAUGCCUGGUACUUGAAUCCUAGUCAACUUCAUGGGGCUAGUGAGGUUAUGGACUGCAGAAAAGAGUGCACUGCUGCCACUUUGCUAGACCAGCAUAAUUCCUAAUACAUUUUAAAUCUUAUCCUUAUACCCAGAGAUAAUGUAACUACCACCAGGAAGCCUGUCUCUACUGCAAAUGGAAACCAUCACAGGAAACCACAACUGGGCACACUGCACAGACUGGCAGAUUGGGGGAGCUCAGGCCCACGGACACGUAAAGCUCAGCUCUAUGGCCCAGGAAACACUGAGGAAGAGAGUGGAAAGAUUGUAAGAGCAAGAAUACCUGGAAGCCUGCGAAGUUUCUUCCAGAAAUGGCUGUAUAAAUAAAACCAGAACAAUGCCAAUGUCAAUGGAAAUUUUGACAUAGGAGAGCAAAAUUUUCACUGGACAGAGAACUCUAGGCAACCAAUGAGUCCUGGGAGAAUUAGCCUCUCCCAAGGAUAAGCCCAAAUACUGGUUGUCUGAUGCAGAGUGAUCAGACUAGAGACCAUUUAUACUCAAACAACAAAAGUGGACUCAGUAGCUUGGAUGUAUACACACAUAUACAUAGAUAUGCAUGUAACAAUAAUAACAGAACAAGCCCAUCAACCUGAGAGUAAGGGCUGGAUAGGUAGAGGCUGGAGGGAGGGAAGGCAGAGAGAGAAGCAAGGUGUAAUUCUGCUUUAAUUAAAAACUUAUCAACUGAAA